rnacentral:rRNA from 1 species
GACGAACGCUGGCGGCGUGCCUAAUACAUGCAAGUUGAGCGAUGAAGAUUGGUGCUUGCACCAAUUUGAAGAGCAGCGCACGGGUGAGUAACGCGUGGGGAAUCUGCCUUUGAGCGGGGGACAACAUUUGGAAACGAAUGCUAAUACCGCAUAAUAACUUUAAACAUAAGUUUUAAGUUUGAAAGAUGCAAUUGCAUCACUCAAAGAUGAUCCCGCGUUGUAUUAGCUAGUUGGUGAGGUAAAGGCUCACCAAGGCGAUGAUACAUAGCCGACCUGAGAGGGUGAUCGGCCACAUUGGGACUGAGACACGGCCCAAACUCCUACGGGAGGCAGCAGUAGGGAAUCUUCGGCAAUGGACGAAAGUCUGACCGAGCAACGCCGCGUAAGUGAAGAAGGUUUUCGGAUCGUAAAACUCUGUUGGUAGAGAAGAACGUUGGUGAGAGUGGAAAGCUCAUCAAGUGACGGUAACUACCCAGAAAGGGACGGCUAACUACGUG